GACGAACGCUGGCGGCGUGCUUAACACAUGCAAGUCGAACGGACUGAAGGAGAAGCUUGCUUCUCUGGACGUUAGUGGCGGACGGGUGAGUAACGCGUGGGUUACCUGCCUUUUAGUGGGGGAUAACACUUCGAAAGGAGUGCUAAUACCGCAUACCAUUAGUGAAUCGCAUGGUUUACUAAUCAAAGGAGCAAUACACUAAAAGAUGGACCCGCGUAUGAUUAGCUAGUUGGUGGGGUAAAGGCCUACCAAGGCGACGAUCAGUAGCCGACCUGAGAGGGUGAUCGGCCACAAUGGGAUUGAGACACGGCCCAGACUCCUACGGGAGGCAGCAGUGGGGAAUCUUCCGCAAUGGGCGCAAGCCUGACGGAGCAACGCCGCGUGAGUGAAGAAGGUCUUCGGAUUGUAAAACUCUGUCUUCAGGGAAGAAAAAAUGACGGUACCUGAGGAGGAAGCCCCGGCUAACUACGUGCCAGCCGCCGCCGUAAAAC
rnacentral:rRNA from 1 species